AUUAAAAUAGCAAAGUAGAAAUGCAAAAGAUUUAGGAUCUUUUAUCAUAGGUUCAAAUCCUUUUUUUAAUU
rnacentral:tRNA from 1 species